rnacentral:rRNA from 1 species
GAGGAAUAUUGGUCAAUGGGCGCAAGCCUGAACCAGCCAUCCCGCGUGAAGGAUGACGGCCCUAUGGGUUGUAAACUUCUUUUCUGCACCAAGAAACGAGAUCUCGUGAGGUCUUCUGACGGUAGUGCAGGAAUAAGGACCGGCUAACUCCGUGCCAGCAGCCGCGGUAAUACGGAGGGUCCAAGCGUUAUCCGGAUUUAUUGGGUUUAAAGGGUGCGUAGGCGGGCCUUUAAGUCAGUGGUGAAAUCCUGCAGCUCAACUGUAGAACUGCCAUUGAUACUGUGGGCCUUGAGUACAGAUGAGGUAGGCGGAAUGUGUAGUGUAGCGGUGAAAUGCUUAGAUAUUACACAGAACACCGAUUGCGAAGGCAGCUUGCCAAACUGUAACUGACGCUGAUGCACGAAAGCGUGGGGAUCGAAC